GCCAGAUGUGUCAGUUCCCUGUGGAGACAGAGUUGUAGGCAGUUGUGAGCCACUUGGCAUGGUUGCUGGGAAUGGAACUCUAGUCAGGUGAUCUGCUACUCAGCUGGGACCCAUCCCUUGGCUUCUAUUUUGUUUUCCUGCCCUGGGUUUAUCAUAUCUUCUCUCCAGCCCUACCAUCACAGCUGAUGUAACAUACUUCCCAGCAGACGACUAAUUUUACAGCAAAACAAGGGCAGCGUUUGGGCUCGAGCACAUGGAAUUCACUGAUCUCAUGGAUCCCUUCACCCAGAAGCAGCUUGGCAGUCACUGCUGGAGCAUCCAGUCAACUCCCCUUCCUCCAUGCAGCGACAGAAGUAAGGACAUCCGUCCGCACAAGUUAACUAACAAGGCCCCAGUUUGAGCGACUUGAGGAACCAGGAGACCGUCUGCCUCCCCUUAACUCCUCGUUUGACUAACCCAAAGUUACCAAGAACUUCUGAGACCAUUGUAGAGGACUCGUUAUGGAAGAUGAUUGGACCCUCAAAGUUAGUCCCAAACCACCGAUUUGAAAAAGAAAUCGCAAACCUACAGUGCCUUGCUAUUCUGUGCUUCGAGAAAAAGACAAGUGCAUCUGCCUUCAGUGUCUGUGGCAGGCCUGACAAGACCGUUGGCUCCAGUUCAUUACUCCACUCUACUAUCAGGUGACCCAAACAGACCCUUCUUGUCAUUUGUGAUGAAGGACCAAGAGAAAGAGGAACAGGAUUGGUGGCAGCUAAACUGCAAAGCUCAGGAGUGGUACAAGGACGCAACACGAAGAGUAACGAAGCCAGGCCACCAUCAGAUUUCUGAAACCGAGGCCAGCAACCGAGACAGAACGCAUGGAGAACCUGCAGAGCUCCAGGCCCUGCUUUGAGGCGGCCUGAACCCCGCCUGGAGCUCCCACGAUGGCCCUCCCCCUCCUACCUUCUUUGCCCAGGCUGGUUGCUGUUGAACUCUUUUCACCGCCAGCCCACCCCACAGCGAGCUCCCAGCCCCAGUUCUGCAGUCUGCUCUUCAUCCUCGGCACAGCCUCCCUUUCCUUUACCGAUGCCAAGUGCGUUUCAAUUACACCACUUGACAAUAGAUUUUAAGUCCUGGGAAGGCAAAAGCAUUUUGAUCUGAAUGAUCUUGACUUCGCUGAUUAAGCAGCAGGGAUGAGUGACGUCCGUGAAAUCUUAAGGAUUGCUCCCUGAGAAUCAGCCACCGUGUUGGAGUACAUUUAUGAUCCCUAGUUUUAGUCUGUGGACUACAGCAGACAUCUCAGGUGCCUCCCCUCGCAUCUGCUUGACCCCCUGAUUGCAGCUACAGCCAGAGGAGGACAGUCCCAGACCCAUCGGUAGGGCCUCCUGCAGACGUCAUCAUUCCAGCGGCCAUCGGAGGUCAAGUGGGCACAGUCCUCGCCUCCUCCAAGCCCGUGCCCAUACCAGUCAUCAGGCUGCUCUGGUUUCCAGUUCCUACAGACAAAAGACCGGCUGAGAGUUCCAGGAAAUCAGACUCCCCUGCAGCCAUGAUCCCAGCCUUGGGAGCACAGUGUCCCAGAAGAACCCCCGGUGGCCUCACCUGCUCAUCCCAGGAGGUCACCACCACCAGGUGGGCGUUCUCCAGCUGGCAGUACUUGUCGGCCUCAGUCCAGGCCCUCCCGGAGCUGGAGAACCAGUAGCAGCUGCCUUCAUACUCCACCCAGUUGAUGGGGCAGCAGGUCCUCUCAGAGCCUGAGGUCCGACACUAACUGCUUCACGUGCAGCAGCAAGUUGGAGUGAUCUGGGGUGGCAGAGGACAAAAUGGGAGCAAAGAAAUCCGAUUAUGCUGAACAAGGCAUUUUGGAAUCUAGUUUGUACCUUGGGCCAUGCCUGAAGCUCAUGGAUAAUAGUAGUGUGUUUGUGUACACACAUACAUGCAAGUAUAUGCGUAUGUAUGUAUGUAUGUAUGGACAGAUAAAUGUAGGUGUGGAUUGUGGAUGUUUGUGUGCAGUUUUUCAUCCCUUUCCAAUAGAUUUAUAUUUAGACAAAUACAUUUUAUAAUGUAUAUAUAAAAGACCUGCACCACUGGAUAUGUGUAUUAGUCACAUAUAAUAAAAUAAUUACCCCACAACUUACCAACUUAAACAAUAGACACAGAUAGUCUCAUUGCAAAGCUCAAAGUGCAGCUGAGCCCAUUGGCUUUGGCUCAGGAUCUCCCUUGAGACACACCAAGACCAGUGGUCAUGUUCUCUGAAAGACUGGACUAAGGCUGGGAAGUCAACUGACCACGUGACUCACUCAGAUGGCAGGCGAGUUACUGCUAGCUGCUGUUUGGUGUCCUCUGUCCCUCACCAGGUAGGCCUCCCCACAAAGCUGCUUGAUGUCUUCUUAACUGCUGACCUAGCCUCAGAGUAACAGCCCACCAUUUCCACACUGUCUCUCAGGUCAGCCCUCCCCAUUGUGGAAAAGAACUAAUACAGUGUAAGUCCCAGGAGGCGAGAAUUCAGACGUGUGCUCAAAGAUGCCUCACUGAUCACUGAUAUCACUAUAUGACUGAUACAUUUAAAGAUGGUGUGGCUUCCCUACAGGGACCACAAAGAGCUGUAGCUCUGUUGGAGAUGUCACUUGGUGGUACAGAGCUUCCCCAGCAUGCAAAAGCCUUGGGUCCAGUCCCUAACCCUAUUAAAAAGGAGAGGAGGUAGGUGCAGGCAAGACAGUGGUGCAGCCAGAUACCUAAAGUAUGCAACUGCCUGCCCUUGGGGUAGAAACUGGGUCAGAGGGGCUAAGUGGCCCAGAGGCAGAGAGACGGGCCAGGAAUGCGCCUCUGAAGGGUGGGUCUUGUCCUGGGACUCUUCCUCCCAUCUCAGCUCCCUGGCUGCCAUGCCGUAGCAGCUAGCGGCCUUCUUCACCACACCCCCUACACUGCCAUGGUGUUCUGCCUCGCCACAGGCCCGAAGUGAUGGAGCCAGCCGAGCAGGACUGAGCCCUCUGAAACCCUAGGCCAAAACAAAUGCUUUCUCCUUUAAGCUGAUUUCUCAGGUAUCUUUUCCCAGCAGCAGCAACAACAAACAUAGGUGGAAUGAAACCUGUGGCCAGGGGAGAGCAGAGAAUGCAGGCCAGGGAUGCGAGCCAGGAGCUGGAGGUGACCAAGUGUGGCGUCUCCUUUGGGGAAACCAGGGCGAGGGAAGUAUUUUUCAGGUUGGUAGAAGCCUGGAGUGCUACAAAUCUUCGAAGGAACUGGCCAGGCGAGCAUGCGAAUACUGAGGAUGAGCAAGAGGGAGGGUCUGCAGGCCCCCAGAGGGAUGGGGUAGAAAGCUGAGGCCCACUACCAGACAGCUCUGGGCUCAUCUGAGAAGCUGGGUUAAUGCCCAUCUCAAGGGUCUGUCCAAGUUAAAGAUGACAGCUCUGUGCCGCCCUUGCUGGAUGUCGUGUGCCGGCUCUUUUCGUCAUUUUCCCUAGCAGCCCAGCAAGAACUGGGCUGUGUCUUGGUUGCUUUUCUCUUACUGUAAAGAGACACCAUGACCAAGGCAACUUAUUUUUUUUAACUUAAUUGGGGGCUUCUUACAGUUCCAGGGGGUGAGCCCAUGACCAGCACUGCAGGGAGCAUGGCAGCGGGCGACAGGCAUGGCGCUGGCAUAGCAGCCGAGCGCUCACAUCUGACCCACAAACAGGAAGCGGGGAGAGCAAAACUGAGAUCAGAGGACACCUUCUUCCCUUAGACCACGUGGGACUGAACUCACGUCAUCAUGCUCGACAACAGCACCUUUUCCCACGGAGCCGUCUCUCCAGCCCCUCCGACAGCUUCCCAUGGCACCUGAGCAUGUAAACUCUCAACUCCGUGGACCCAGACCCAUUGCCUUAACACACCUUCCUCAGCCCCUGGAUUACUGCUUUUGGCCCAAGACUGUCAGCUCAGCUUCACCCUGCCUCGCCCUACACAGACCCAAGCUAAGAGACUUCUC